rnacentral:rRNA from 1 species
GAUGAACGCUGGCGGCGUGCCUAAUACAUGCAAGUCGAGCGAAUGGAUUAAGAGCUUGCUCUUAUGAAGUUAGCGGCGGACGGGUGAGUAACACGUGGGUAACCUGCCCAUAAGACUGGGAUAACUCCGGGAAACCGGGGCUAAUACCGGAUAACAUUUUGAACCGCAUGGUUCGAAAUUGAAAGGCGGCUUCGGCUGUCACUUAUGGAUGGACCCGCGUCGCAUUAGCUAGUUGGUGAGGUAACGGCUCACCAAGGCAACGAUGCGUAGCCGACCGGGGAGGGUGAUCGGCCACCAUGGGACUGGGACACGGCCCAGACUCCUACGGGAGGCAGCAGUAGGGAAUCUUCCGCAAUGGACGAAAGUCUGACGGAGCAACGCCGCGUGAGUGAUGAAGGCUUUCGGGUCGUAAAACUCUGUUGUUAGGGAAGAACAAGUGCUAGUUGAAUAAGCUGGCACCUUGACGGUACCUAACCAGAAAGCCACGGCUAACUACGUGCCAGCAGCCGCCGUAA